GCCCAGUUAGCUCAGCUGGUUAGAGCAUCAUUCCAAUAUGCUAAGGUUUUGGGUUCAAUCCCCAGUCAGGGCA
rfam:Myotis brandtii contig153780, whole genome shotgun sequence.